GGCUCGAUAGCUCAGUUGGUAGAGCAGUAGACUGAAAAUCUACGUGUCGGCGGUUCGAUUCCGUCUCGAGCCACCA
rnacentral:tRNA from 2 species